rnacentral:rRNA from 1 species
CCAAUAGCGUAUAUUAAAGUUGUUGCAGUUAAAAAGCUCGUAGUUGAACUUCGGGGUCUACCCAUUGGUCCGGCUUAAUUGUCUGCACUGGUGAGAUGGAUCUCUACCUUCUGAGGAACUUUCAUGCCAUUUAUUUGGUGUGAUGGGAAAUCAGGACUGUUACUUUGAAAAAAUUAGAGUGUUUAAAGCAGACUAUCGUCUGAAUACAUUAGCAUGGAAUAAUGAAAUAGGACGGACUGAUUCUAUUUCGUUGGUUUCUAGGAUCACCGUAAUGAUUAAUAGGGAUAGUUGGGGGCAUUAGUAUUCAAUUGUCAGAGGUGAAAUUCUUGGAUUUAUUGAAGACUAACUACUGCGAAAGCAUUUGCCAAGGAUGUUUUCAUUAAUCAAGAACGAAAGUUAGGGGAUCGAAGACGAUCAGAUACCGUCGUAGUCUUAACCAUAAACUAUGCCGACUAGGGAUCGGACGAAGUUAAUUUUAUAAUGACGCGUUCGGCACCUUACG